rnacentral:rRNA from 1 species
GUAUUGGCAUACCGUGGCAGUGACGGUUAACGGGGGAUUAGGGUUCGAUUCCGGAGAGGGAGCCUGAGAAACGGCUACCACAUCUAAGGAAGGCAGCAGGCGCGCAAAUUACCCAAUUCUAACAGCAUAAGAGAGGUAGUGACAAGAAAUAACAAUACAGGGCCAGUUAAAAUGCUUUGUAAUUGGAAUGAUAGAAAUUUAAACACUUUUUAAAGUAUCAAUUGGAGGGCAAGUCUGGUGCCAGCAGCCGCGGUAAUUCCAGCUCCAAUAGCGUAUAUUAAAAUUGUUGCAGUUAAAAAGCUCGUAGUUGAAUUUCUGCUAAAAAUAGCCGGUCUGCUUUUAAUAAAGGUGGUAUCUUGGUGUGUUUUUAGCAAUAAUGUCCUUUGAAAUGUUUUUUACUUUAUUGUAAUAAAUUAUAUUCAGGAUUUUUACUUUGAGAAAAU